UACAGAGACUGCAAGCGUUAUUCGGAUUCACUGGGCGUAAAGGGCGCGUAGGCGGCACAGCAAGUCGGGAGUGAAAGCCCGGGGCUCAACCCCGGAAUGUCUCUCGGAAACUGCUGAGCUCGAGUGCGGAAGAGGCAACUGGAAUUCCCAGUGUAGCGGUGAAAUGCGUAGAUAUUGGGAAGAACACCUGAGGCGAAGGCGGGUUGCUGGG
rnacentral:rRNA from 1 species